rnacentral:rRNA from 1 species
UGGGGAAUUUUGGACAAUGGGGGAAACCCUGAUCCAGCCAUCCCGCGUGUGCGAUGAAGGCCUUCGGGUUGUAAAGCACUUUUGGCAGGAAAGAAACGUCGCGGGUUAAUACCCCGCGAAACUGACGGUACCUGCAGAAUAAGCACCGGCUAACUACGUGCCAGCAGCCGCGGUAAUACGUAGGGUGCAAGCGUUAAUCGGAAUUACUGGGCGUAAAGCGUGCGCAGGCGGUUCGGAAAGAAAGAUGUGAAAUCCCAGAGCUUAACUUUAGAACUGCAUUUUUAACUACCGGGCUAGAGUGUGUCAGAGGGAGGUGGAAUUCCGCGUGUAGCAGUGAAAUGCGUAGAUAUGCGGAGGAACACCGAUGGCGAAGGCAGCCUCCUGGGAUAACACUGACGCUCAUGCACGAAAGCGUGGGGAGCAAACAGGAUUAGAUACCCUGGUAGUCCACGCCCUAAACGAUGUCAACUAGCUGUUGGGGCCUUCGGGCCUUGGUAGCGCAGCUAACGCGUGAAGUUGACCGCCUGGGGAGUACGGUCGCAAGAUUAAAACUCAAAUGAAUUGACGGGGUCGAU